rnacentral:snRNA from 1 species
GGAUGUGAGACCAAACUGUUGCCCCACUGAGUGCCAGCGUUGAUUCCGCUAAUCUGACUGGUUAGGCAGGUGUCCUCUUCUUCCCUCACCAUUCCCUGUGUUCCUCCCAAUGCUGCAUGCUAGAUAGAAGGGGAUGGCUACCCCAGAUAGGUGUGUAUCNUUCUUGGUCUGUGCUGCCAUGCUCAAACCUCCAAACAACUCAAGGUUUAUUGCAACCCAGCAGUGUAGGUUCCCAU